AACGACUCYCGGCAACGGAUAUCUCGGCUCUCGCAUCGAUGAAGAAMGUAGCGAAAUGCGAUACUUGGUGUGAAUUGCAGAAUCCCGUGAACCAUCGAGUCUUUGAACGCAAGUUGCGCCCGAAGCCAUUAGGCCGAGGGCACGUCUGGCUGGGUGUCACACAACG
rnacentral:rRNA from 1 species